AGAAACUUAGGAUUAAACUACCGCCCAAACCAAAGGCCUUCAAAGCCUUAAAUAAGAGUUAAACUCUCUUAGUUUCUG